rnacentral:rRNA from 1 species
AUUGAACGCUGGCGGCAUGCUUUACACAUGCAAGUCGAACGGCAGCGCGGGGCAACCUGGCGGCGAGUGGCGCACGGGUGAGUAAUACAUCGGAACGUACCCAGAAGUGGGGGAUAACGUAGCGCAAGUUACGCUAAUACCGCAUACGUUCUACGGAAGAAAGUGGGGGACCUUCGGGCCUCAUGCUUUUGGAGCGGCCGAUGUCUGAUUAGCUAGUUGGUGAGGUAAAGGCUCACCAAGGCGACGAUCAGUAGCUGGUCUGAGAGGACGACCAGCCACACUGGGACUGAGACACGGCCCAGACUCCUACGGGAGGCAGCAGUGGGGAAUUUUGGACAAUGGGCGCAAGCCUGAUCCAGCAAUGCCGCGUGAGUGAAGAAGGCCUUCGGGUUGUAAAGCUCUUUUGUCAGGGAAGAAACGGCUGAGGAUAAUACCUUCGGCUAAUGACGGUACCUGAAGAAUAAGCACCGGCUAACUACGUG